rnacentral:piRNA from 1 species
AAAGUCAACUGUGGGGGAAUUGG